CAAAAACAUGUCCUCUUGAUUUAAAUUUUGAGGUCUGGCCUGCUCACUGAUAAAUUUAAAGAGCCGCGGUAUUUUGACCGUGCAAAGGUAGCAUAAUCAUUAGUCUCUUAAUUAGGGGCUGGAAUGAAUGGCUUAACGAGAAAUUAACUGUCUCUUAAUAAUUUAUAUAAUUUAACUUUUGAGUUAAAAGGCUUAAAUUUUUCUUAAGGACGAGAAGACCCUAUAGAGCUUAACAUUUCAUUUAUAUAUAUUUUUUAGUUUGUCUUUUUAUAUUUAAUGAUAAUGUUUUGUUGGGGUGACAUGAAGAAUAAAUAAACUCUUCAUUAUAAAAUCAUUAAUUUAUGUUUAUUUUGAUCCAUAAUUUAUGAUCAUAAGAUUAAGUUACCUUAGGGAUAACAGCGUAAUUGUUUUUGAGAGCUCAUAUCAACAAAGCAGAUUGCGACCUCGAUGUUGGAUUAAGAAAAAUUUUGGGUGC
rnacentral:rRNA from 1 species